AGUUAGGGUCAGGGUCAAGGCCAGUUAGGGUCAGGGUCAAUGCCAGUUAGGGUCAGGGUCAAGGCCAGUUAGGUUCAGGGUCAACGCCAGUUAGGGUCAGGGUCAACGCCAGUUGGGUCAGGGUCAACGCCCUUUAGGGUCAACGCCAGUUAGGGUCAAUGCCAGUUAGGGUCAGGGUCAAUGCCAGUUAGGGUCAGGGUCAACGCCCGUUAGGGUCAACGCCAGUUAGGGUCAGGAUCAAUUCCAGUUAAGGUCAGGGUCAACGCCAGUUAGGGUCAACGCCAGUUAGGGUCAGGGUCAACGCCAGUUAGGGUCAGGGUCAACUCCAGUUAGGGUCAGGGUCAACGCCAGUUAGGGUCAACGCCAGUUAGGGUCAGGGUCAACGCCAGUUAGGGUCAGGGUCAACGCCAGUUAGGGUCAGGGUCAAGGCC
ensembl:lncRNA